AAACACUCGCCAAGGUGGGAUUCCAAGGCUAUGACUCACGGCGGCUGGCGGGGCCGCACUCCAGCCCGCAGCUGCCAGGGUCCUUCGCCGAGCCGCGGCCGCCUGCGCCGUGCGCGCCGCUGGGGCCAGGGUGGACCUUGGUGCCCCGUUCCUGCGGCCAGGCGCUCGGGAAAGUUGCGGGGCCAAGGAGGCUGGCAGAGGCGGGGGCGUGGGCCUCGUAGCCCGAGGGAAGCACUUGGAGAUGAGAAACAGAUGUCGGAGCUGGACUGAGCCUUUGCGCUCCCCCGCCCUCCCGGUCCUUUCCCCUGCAUCUCGGGUGUAACAAGGCAGCACUCGUCCUGCCUCCACGUGAACUGGCAGCUCCCGGGUGAGGAUCCCCGCGGGGAAAACCUCCAAGAAAAACAAAAACAGAACUAGUAAAGAAGCUUGCCCUUGGUGGAGAGGCUAGGGCAGAAGCCGGAGUCACUUUAUUUUGCAAAUAGUGAUUCCCCCACCCCCUUCUUGUGGUGGAUUCAAUUAGAGCUGGCUUUUGUGUGGGGUUUUGUUGUUGUUUUGUUUUUGAAACAGGGUCUCACUGUGUAAACCA